GCCUGGGAGCAGAGCUAAGUUCCCCAGCCUGACUCUUUUUAUUUUUCUUUUCAUUCUUCAAGUUCUUUACAAGGAGACAGAUUUUGACCAGUGAGAGAGGGGAAACAUCCCUGUGGUAUAAGCAAGAUUCUCAAGAUUUUUCAACAGAAGAUAAAGGAAAAAAGAGGUGGAAAGAUGGUGGGAAGCUGCUUCACACUGGGGAGGCUGAUGGAGAUCACUGGAUGAGCAGCUACUGAAAGGUGUGCCAGGACAGGAAACUGCAUUUGUUUUCCGCUGAGGGAGAAGCCUUUGCUGCACAGAGGUUGAUCAGACUGGGGAGUUUCUGCCAUUUCUGUGACGAGGCUGUGGGCACCUCUUGGCCUGCAGCUCUGGUACUGACUGCUGCUGGGCACAGCGGGUGUCUGGAGAGGGCCUGGCGUAGGAACGAGGAGCACGUCCUGCUGCAUUAACAUGGAAAUCCCUCUGAAACUGAACCUAAUCUGGGUGAGUCGGGAUCAUCUUUCUGUCUCUCAGCUUCCUCAUAUUUAAGAAGCAGCUGGGCUG
ensembl:lncRNA